CAGUAUAACGCCACGCACGACUGACCGCGUAUUGCAGGACAUCCCUUGUUAACAGAAUCGAGUUCAGAUCGUUUUUUAUAACAAUUUUUAUCAUAAGGCAUUAGGACAUAAAAAAAAAAAAUCCGUACAUUUUAUUAUUUACAAACGGCCUUGUAUGAUUGUGCAACCCAACCAAUUAUGUGUGGGAUAUUUACCUGACCGUCGCGCG